rnacentral:miRNA from 1 species
UGAGUUGACCAAAAAGUUAGUUUGGGUUUUUCUAUAAGCUAUAAAAGUCCAAAUGAACUUUUUGGCCAAGCCAAU